CGUGCUCGACCUCCGGGCCGUUGCUUCUCCCGAGGGUGGGGCUUUGGAGAGGUGACAAGGAGCGCUCAGUUGGUGCGUAGUCCCGCGCGACUGCCUCUUCUGGGGUCCCGGAUCCUUGGCAUCUCUUGCGGCAAUUGGUAUUGAUGUUGAUAAUUAUAGAAAAUUGAAAGUCUUUAAAAGAGGAUCUUGUCAAGCCUUUGGAUUGUACUGAAGCGCAGCUAAGAUGGCCAAGUAUGGAGAACAUGAGGCCAGAGCUGACGAUGGGCAGAAUGAGUUCAGCGACAUCAUUAAGUCCAGGUCUGAUGAACACAAUGAUGUGCAGAAGAAAACCUUUACCAAAUGGAUAAAUGCUCGGUUUUCAAAG